rnacentral:rRNA from 1 species
GCUUAACACAUGCAAGUCGAACGCGAACGGUUUCUUCGGAAACCUAGUAGAGUGGCGCACGGGUGAGUAACGCGUAAGUAAUCUACCCUGGCAUCUGGGAUAACAAUUCGAAAGGAUUGCUAAUACCGGAUACGCUGGAAACAGGAAAGGUGGCCUCUUCAUGAAAGCUACUGUGCCGGGAGGAGCUUGCGUACCAUUAGCUAGUUGGUGGGGUAAAGGCCUACCAAGGCAACGAUGGUUAGCGGGUCUGAGAGGAUGAUCCGCCACACUGGAACUGGAACACGGACCAGACUCCUACGGGAGGCAGCAGUGAGGAAUAUUGCGCAAUGGGGGAAACCCUGACGCAGCGACGCCGCGUGGAUGAUGAAGGCUUUCGGGUCGUAAAAUCCUGUCAGAAGGGAAGAAAUGGUUUGUAGCUAAUACCUACAUUCUUUGACGGUACCUUCAAAGGAAGCACCGGCUAACUCCGUGCCAGCAGCCGCGGUAAUACGGAGGGUGCAAGCGUUGUUCGGAAUUACUGGGCGUAAAGCGCGCGUAGGCGGCUUUUUAAGUCAGAUGUGAAAGUCCACGGCUCAACCGUGGAAGUACAUUUGAUACUGGAAAGCUUGAGUACUGGAGGGGAUGGUGGAAUUCCCGGUGUAGAGGUGAAAUUCCUAGAUAUCG